GCCCUGGUGGUGCAGUGGUUAAGCACUUGGCUGUUAAGCAAAAGGUUGGUAGUUCGAACCCAUCCAGUGGCU
rnacentral:tRNA from 1 species